GGCGGCCGGGAGGAAGGAGGGAGUGCGGCGGGCAGGCGGAGGGAGGGCUGAUUAGCAUGCAGCAGCGCUCGCGCGCCCGGCUCCAUUGUUUUAACACCUCCCCUCUCCUCCGCGCCAAUCUGUCACCGUUCAGCAGGCGAACGCUGCUGCCUCAAAUGCUGCUCUUCUCAAAUGAGACGGAUAAUUAGUUGCCCCGCACGAAUGCCGCACUCUUCUCACCCCUGAUUGCUAUCACCUUCUUGCUCCUGGCAGUUUUGACACCUCGUAAUCAGCCUGCUGCUUUUCUCUUUUCUUCCCGACUUCUGCUUCCCUCCCCCCUUUCCUUCCUAGUUGAUUUAUUUAUUUAUUAUUAUUAUUAUUUUAAAUGCAAUCCCGGUGCCUAUCUGGACGAGCCCUCUGCGAGUUAACCUCCGCGCACACACGCACGCCUCUCUGUAUAUGCAAACCGCGGCGCGUGUGCGUGAGCGCGGGGCGGGCUGCGGGGAACGCGGCUUCCACUCGGAAUUUUCUCCCAAAGAUAUUUUUGGGAAGGGAGGAGUUGAGGGGGACGGGAGGGAAGAGUUGGGGAGACCUCAAUUAAUGCUUUAAAGAUCUCUUAGAAAUUAAACCGGGGAGUCUCGGAAUCUGCUGUCAGAAGCCUGUUUCCCCCUCUCCCCUAACAAGCACUGACAGUCUAAUUACUGUAGCUACAAGCAGCUGUCGAGGCAGCAGCCCGGAGAGAAGGAGCCACAGGCUGAGCGCCCCCCACCGGCCGUCCCCUGCACCCGAAGAUCCCGAACUGGCCCGACGCCGGCAGCACGAAAAGGAGGCCGAGGCUCAGCCCCGACAGCCCGGGCGGGCCCGGGAGCCAGCGGACUCGCUUAGGAUUUCAUAUUUAUAAAGUCUUUACCUUGAAGACUCAGCGUUUUGCGGGUGCAGCUUUUUUACCUGGGCGCUGUUCUUACCCGGACACGCUUAGCAGAUGCCAAGAGGCAGCCCCUGCACGACUCUGUAUGACACAAGAGGGUCAGACCGCAGGUGCCCAAAUAUUCCACCUUUCAAGCUGCAGCCAGCGCCGAGAGCACAGUGGCCUGGAAGGGUCUCCCUCUCUCAGAAGUUGGAGCUUGGAGUACCCCAGGUACCCCAAAGAGAAUACAGUUCCUAAUUCCUAUUUAAAAGUUGUCAAGGUGGGAAAAGGAUGAACUGGAGAAAAGGGGUCAGUGGCUCACUUUCCUUUUCUGGGCUGGUUUUCUUAGGUGGUUAGCAAACUAGUAGAAAUCAAGUGUGCAAGAGGGACUCAAUGAAAGGCAAGAGAAAAUAAUCCUCUUUCGAAAAAUAGGUAUGGUGGUAUAUUCUGGCUGGUACACACCAAGAAGUUUCAGCUUUAAUUGUGUGCGUGUGUGUGUGUGUGUGUGUGUGUGUGAGAGAGAGAGAGAGAGAGAGAGAGAGAGAGAGAGAGAGAGAGAGACAGAGGGGGGAAGGGAGGAGCCUUGGAUAAUUGUCUAGGCAUUCAGCCCCAAUGGCAAUGGAAAAUGAUGUACAUGCCUCAGAACCCUUCACAGUGAAUACCUAAUAAUCGCUAUGUCACCUUGGUGAGGAAGAUGUCAAUGUGAUGUGCUUGGCACCCUGAGAAGUCCAGGCACCACUCUCAUUCUCCCACAAGUUAAGGCUGAUCACUGCAGCACUGGGGCCUGUUCGAAUUCCCCCAUCCCAAACCCUCCGGUUCAAAACACUUACUUCAUGAAGUCUUAAAUUUCUGUUUGAGAGCUGCAAAUCUGUUUAUUUCCUAGAAUGGAGGCCAUGCCUCAGAUCUUUUGAAAAAUCAGGGUAAAAGAGAAAUGUAAAAGGCAAGAAUCAUAAGGAAAAUAAAUGAAAGGGAAGUCUCAUUUUGAACCAAUUUUCAGUGCUUUGAAUUUGGUGUCCUCUCUAACGGCUUCCAGUGGCCACCAAUCAGGCUGCUAACGAUGAAUAACGAAUUUCUCAACAAGAAUGUCAAUGUUCUAAUCUAAAUUAAUAAAUAUGGAUAGUCCUUACAGGGUUGUAUAUUUGUUCACAUUAAAAGCUAAUACUUUCGAAAAUUUACUUCAAAAAAUGAUUUCAAAAUUCAAAGUGACUUACUAAUUACAAUAAAU
rnacentral:lncRNA from 1 species